UUUUUAAGCGAUUAAAUUAGCUUUGCUGAAGUGAAAACCCACAGUGAGAGGGUCAAAGUUUAAGAUGAAAACACGGACAAUACCCAAAAACAAGUUGAGGUCUAUUUUGAUGACCACA